rnacentral:rRNA from 1 species
GAUGAACGCUAGCGGCAGGCUUAAUACAUGCAAGUCGAGGGGCAGCAGGUCCCGCAGCAAUGCGGGAUGCUGGCGACCGGCAAACGGGUGCGGAACACGUACACAACCUUCCUUUAAGCGGGGAAUAGCCCGGGGAAACCCGGAUUAAUACUCCAUAGUAUAUUGAAAAGGCAUCUUUUAAUAUUAAAGAUUUAUCACUUAAAGAUGGGUGUGCGGCUGAUUAGGUAGUUGGCGGGGAACGGCCCACCAAGCCUACGAUCAGUAACUGGUGUGAGAGCACGACCAGUCACACGGGCACUGAGACACGGGCCCGACUCCUACGGGAGGCAGCAGUAAGGAAUAUUGGUCAAUGGACGAAAGUCUGAACCAGCCAUGCCGCGUGGAGGAUGAAGGUCCUCUGGA